GACGAACGCUGGCGGCGUGCUUAACACAUGCAAGUGGUGCGACGAACCAGACUUCGGUCUGGGGCAAAGCCGCGAACGGGUGAGUAACACGUGAGUAAUCUGCCCCGAUGACCGGGACAACCCGAGGAAACUCGGGCUAAUACCGGAUGAUGAGCCAAGGCGUAAGCCUUUUCUCUAAAGGAAGCUUCGGCCUCCGCAUCGGGAGGAGCUCGCGGCGCAUUAGCUUGUUGGUGGGGUAACGGCCUACCAAGGCGACGAUGCGUAGCUGGUCUGAGAGGACGAUCAGCCACACUGGAACUGAGACACGGUCCAGACUCCUACGGGAGGCAGCAGUGGGGAAUCUUGCGCAAUGCGCGAAAGCGUGACGCAGCAACGCCGCGUGGGGGAAGAAGGCCUUCGGGUUGUAAACCCCUUUCAGUUGGGACGAAGCUUCGACGGUUAAUAGCCGGCUGGAGUGACGGUACCUUCAGAAGAAGCCCCGGCUAACUACGUGCCAGCAGCCGCAGUAAAAC
rnacentral:rRNA from 1 species